rnacentral:lncRNA from 1 species
GAUGGGAGAAGCUAAGCCCAGACCAGGGUCCACGUACUCAGUCACUAAAGAAGUACCGAUUUCAGGGCCCAGGAAGUUCCAGAGAGUGAUGGCUGGGUAGGAACUCCCCCCAGCUACUGGGUAAUGCCACAACCACCCCCAGGCUGCAGAGGCACAAGCCUCCCACUUGCAGGAAUGCCUGGGCUCAUGCAGGCUCUGCUUGAGCUAGUGAGCUCUAAUGAAGGCAGAGCCAGGCUGGAGAAGCCCAGCCUUCCAGGGCCCUGGAUAGGCACCCUGCGGAGAGAUGAUCCUGGGAAGUUCUAGAGAGUAUCCAAGAGCAGUGGCAGCAGCCUGUAAUGUUCAGAGAUUGAUGGAGCCCCACUGACCAACAGCAGCAAAAGAAGUAACUCAUUCCUGGCUCGGAGGAAUUAUCCUGUGGUAUCUGCUUGUUGCCAGAACUUACUGUCAAC